GUGAUGAUGUGUGUAUUGUCUCCAGUCCACAGGCCUCCAGUCCGUCUCUUUCCUAUGGAUAACAUGGGAAUGAAGGAAAAUUCUGGAACAUCAGGGAUCAGAGAAAAAUAUCAAGAGUUUCUAAACCUUACAGCAGCAUCAAGCAUUUGUUGUGAUGUCAGUCACCUUUAACUGUGAACGGCCCUCGGUGACGACGACACGAGCGCUCACUGGAUUGAGAGACGUUCGUCUGUUACCAUGGUCCAGUGUCAGGUGCAGGAGAGUUACAGAGAUGUGGAUAAAAGAUAAAAAAACAGGUAUCACUGCAAGUCUUAUUUGUAACAUAGUUUGUUAAUAGUGCAUGUUGGGCGAAACACCGGAUACACACACACACACACACACACACACACACGCGUCACACUCAGUCAAACGUGUGUGUCUCUGGCUUCCUACAGUAAGUGCAGCGGAAGUGUCCUUAUCAGUGUGUGUGUGUGAGACACUUGUCUUUCUCUCUGUAUGUUUCCAUUUAAAGCGUGUCCUCUGUAUCACCUCACACUCUCUCAAACACACACACACACACACACACACACACAGUCAGAGACUCUUGGGUAAAAUAACAAAAAGAUAACAGAACACGCUCUUAUCAGACAUAGCUGAGUGCUGAUGGAGGGAAGGUCAGCAGUGAAGUUAUGAGACACACACACACACGUAUGCCAAGGUGAGACUCUUUGAAACAGUGAACACAGACACAGAGACACUGAGCUCUCUUAUGCUGCCAGACUCACGUCUCUAUGCUUAGAUUAUCGUUUCAUGCGUGCAUAGAUCAUAUUCUGCACAUUUCACUGCGGUCGGUUUACUGUAUUCUGAUAUUUUCCCACAUACUGUAUCUAAAAUAGAGUUUAUUGAUAUUUUCUGCUUUUUAUUUAUGCAUUUUGAUAUUCUUAGCACAUUUACAGUAUUCUCAUAUUUUCUACACUAUUUAUAUAUUCUGAUAUUUUUAUACACUAAA